AAUACUCCGACAGAUACAUCGAUAAGAGAGAAAUAUAAUACAUAUCUGCUACAUAUAUCACAUUAACAUUAUUCAAAGAAAGAUGUCAACAAGACCCGGCCAGUCGUCUGAGGAUACAAAACAUUCGAACGUCGAGACCACGUGUGCGCUGUCAAUGGUUUCCUCAGGCGAUGAGAACAGUCUUCGCGUCACAGCUCGACGUGACGAUCACUAAUCAGCAAUCAUCAGUGAGAAGAAUAGGCAAAUAUCUGGUCAAAUUUCGAGUCACGUUGACGUGAUUCUUGAACCACUA